rnacentral:antisense_RNA from 1 species
CUUGAUGGUGGCUGUAUGCAUGGCAUCUUCGGGUGCGCCGGGUUUUUGGUCUUCCUACCGGUCUGCUAACUUGCAUACAGCUGCCACCCUU